UGGGGAAUAUUGCGCAAUGGGGGAAACCCUGACGCAGCGACGCCGCGUGGAGGAAGAAGGCCUUUGGGUUGUAAACUCCUUUGAUCGGGGACGAAGAUGACGGUACCCGAAGAACAAGCCACGGCUAACUACGUGCCAGCAGCCGCGGUAAUACGUAGGUGGCGAGCGUUGUCCGGAAUUACUGGGUGUAAAGGGCGUGUAGGCGGGGUGCCAAGUCAGGUGUGAAAUACCGGGGCUUAACCUCGGGGGUGCAUCUGAAACUGGUGCUCUUGAGUGCCGGAGAGGAAAGCGGAAUUCCCAGUGUAGCGGUGAAAUGCGUAGAUGUUGGGAGGAACACCAGUGGCGAAGGCGGCUUUCUGGACGGUAACUGACGCUGAGGCGCGAAAGCGUGGGGAGCAAACAGG
rnacentral:rRNA from 1 species